rnacentral:misc_RNA from 1 species
GAUGAAGAACGCAGCAAAAUGCGAUAAGUAAUGUGAAUUGCAGAAUUCAGUGAAUCAUCGAAUCUUUGAACGCACAUUGCGCCCGCUGGUAUUCCGGCGGGCAUGCCUGUUCGAGCGUCAUUUCAACCCUCAAGCCCCCGGGUUUGGUGUUGGGGAUCGGCUCUGCCCUUCUGGGCGGUGCCGCCCCCGAAAUACAUUGGCGGUCUCGCUGCAGCCUCUAUUGCGUAGUAGCUAACACCUCGCAACUGGAACGCGGCGCGGCCAUGCCGUAAAACCCCAACUUCUGAAUGUUGACCUCGGAUCAGGUAGGAAUACCCGCUGAACUUAAGCAUAUCAAUAAGCGGAGGA